rnacentral:lncRNA from 1 species
UUGAGGACAGACGAGGAAGGCGGCUUUUGGGGCUCUUUCCUUUGGCCUUGGGGUCUUUAAAACCCGAUCUUCGAAAGGCUUUUGAAACGGGGUUAAAAGAACCCGACCUUUUGCCUUAUGACCGCCGCCUACGGCGGUGCCGACGCCGGUAAUCGGCGACCGGCAUGGUGGCCCACGGCAGGGUCUUUGGCCGGAGAAGAGAGGGGUGGGGAGAGUACUUUGAAUUUUUUUUGUUUAAAACAGAUAAGAAUGAAAAAUAAAAAAAACAAAAACAAAACAACUUAAAUAGACACCCUAAACGGCGUCGUUUAGGGCUAGUACCAAUAGUCCGAAAACGGUGUCGUUUUGGCACGGAUCAAGCCGACCCGACCCGACCCGAGCCAAUGAAGGUCCGCGCGUUUUGUACCUGAGGAUCUAUUUUCGAUUUCGGCCCUUCCGCAUUUUAACUAUUUUACAAUUAAGUUUCUUUUUUUAAUUUGAUCUUAAAAUUUCUUUCAUGUUUCAAGUUAAUCCUCAUUGCUGCAUGCGUUUUGAGGGCUCCGGUCUAUUUACUCUUUUGGUCCCUCUUUGUUUGGCGAGUGGCAUUUUAGUCCUGUUUUGUUUCUUUUUUCGAAUUCGCCCAAUUUUUUGUUUUUAUUUCAAUUUGAUCCCCUUUUUAGUAAAUUUAUUGUUUAAUUAAUUACUUUAUUAUUAUUAUUAUUAUUAUUAUUAUUAUUAUUAAUUAUUACUAGUUUUAUUUUCCUUAAACCUAUUCGUCACUGCUUCGGUUAGUAUGUUAACUUGUUUCAUUAUUAUUAUAGCUUUAUUUUUAUAAUAUAUGUAUAUAUACCUAUGUAUAUUUCUUAUAUAUAUGCAUA